UGGCUCAGGAUGAACGCUAGCGGCAGGCUUAACACAUGCAAGUCGAGGGGUAUAAGUCUUCGGAUUUAGAGACCGGCGCACGGGUGCGUAACGCGUAUGCAAUCUACCUUUUACAGAGGGAUAGCCCAGAGAAAUUUGGAUUAAUACCUCAUAGCAUAGCAGCUUCGCAUGAAGCCACUAUUAAAGUCACAACGGUAAAAGAUGAGCAUGCGUCCCAUUAGCUAGUUGGUAAGGUAACGGCUUACCAAGGCUACGAUGGGUAGGGGUCCUGAGAGGGAGAUCCCCCACACUGGUACUGAGACACGGACCAGACUCCUACGGGAGGCAGCAGUGAGGAAUAUUGGACAAUGGGCGCAAGCCUGAUCCAGCCAUGCCGCGUGCAGGAUGACGGUCCUAUGGAUUGUAAACUGCUUUUAUACGAGAAGAAACACUACUUCGUGAAGUAGCUUGACGGUAUCGUAAGAAUAAGGAUCGG
rnacentral:rRNA from 1 species